GGGAGAUGAUUCGAUCAUGAAGGUGGAACUCUGGAAUUAGCGCCCUUAUGAAAGAGACCCCAGAGAGUUGUCUUGCCCUCUCUGCCAUGUGAGUACACAGCAAGAAAAUGGCCCUCUGCAACCCAGAAGACAGCUCUCACCAGAACCUGACCCUGUCAGCACCCUCACAUCAGACUCCAGUCUCUGGAACUGUUCCUGAUGAUAUCAGAGUAGAACAAAACAGAACCAGUCAAGUUUCAUUUGAAGCUUUAUUUCAGAAAAAUAUACUCCUGGUUUGAUUCCAUCCAAGAGGGACUGUUUGCCAGAAAUUCAUGGAACCAUCUCCAUGCAGGACCAAUAAGACGAAUGAUCCUCAGGUUGACAUAGGACAGGGAGACCCCAAUAAACAAGUCCCAUCCAUUACUCCAGCUGUGACUCAUCAGGGGACUUCCAGGAAGAACUCAAUAAGAGAAAAGAAAGACCGGUUCCUCAACAUUCACAAGCUUUUGUUUCCAGCAGGCUGGGAGAUGGACCUAAAGGUUUGACUAUAAUCUAGUUAAAAGUCUGUGACAAGAAAACAUCAUAGGCCAAAGAUACCAUGAUUAUGGCUCAUCUGGUGAGCUUAGCACCAACUGGCAGAAGCUCAUAAGAAGAAUGGUACUGUUAGAAUGUACUAGAAUCUUACUCCUGUAAUUUCUAGUUUCAAAGAAGCUCUGAUUCUAUCCUAUACACAUCUCCCAAAAGCUGUAAGACCUUUUUAAGGCCACCAACCUGAACACCAAGAUUAUUAUUUUCAAAAAAUCUCUUCCAACUACCAUAAUGCCUCAGAAGCCAAAGCACUUGUUAAUCCAUUUUGAAGUUUAUUUGGGUCAAACAAAAGAGAACAACCUUGGCUUUUAAGCACAUGACCUCCAGUUUAAUGUUUAUU